GGGGGUGAGCGUGGCCUGGAGCAGCAAGCCCAUAGCUCCCUCAACCAUCAUGCUAAUCUCUUCUUGUUAUUCAUCCUGAAUCUAUGGUGCACAUACAGUACAUGCUUAUGUAUUGUCUCAAUGAUUAUCCUUUUUUAGGAUUCAACUUGCGUUUUGUGCAAUUUCAUAUACUCAAUCAAUAAAUUCUCAGUUUUUUUGCAGGAUUUGUGUUUGUUCGGAUGCUUAGGUGCAGCUGCAUCAAGGGAAUUGGCCGAUGGUGUGCAAUACAUAGACAAAGCAAAA
rnacentral:lncRNA from 1 species